AUUGAACGCUGGCGGCAGGCCUAACACAUGCAAGUCGAGCGGAUGAAGGGAGCUUGCUCCUGGAUUCAGCGGCGGACGGGUGAGUAAUGCCUAGGAAUCUGCCUGGUAGUGGGGGAUAACGUCCGGAAACGGGCGCUAAUACCGCAUACGUCCUGAGGGAGAAAGUGGGGGAUCUUCGGACCUCACGCUAUCAGAUGAGCCUAGGUCGGAUUAGAUAGUAGGUGGGGUAAAGGCCUACCAAGGCGACGAUCCGUAACUGGUCUGAGAGGAUGAUCAGUCACACUGGAACUGAGACACGGUCCAGACUCCUACGGGAGGCAGCAGUGGGGAAUAUUGGACAAUGGGCGAAAGCCUGAUCCAGCCAUGCCGCGUGUGUGAAGAAGGUCUUCGGAUUGUAAAGCACUUUAAGUUGGGAGGAAGGGCAGUAAGUUAAUACCUUGCUGUUUUGACGUUACCAACAGAAUAAGCACCGGCUAACUUCGUG
rnacentral:rRNA from 1 species